rnacentral:lncRNA from 1 species
CCCCGAGGAUGGGGCCAGGGAUUACGUGAGGAUCCCUCCGAGAAGUCAAGCGGAUCUUGGGGCGGAGGACUGGGGAGGAGGAGGAGGAGGAGGAGGAGGAGUUGGAGGGGAGAAGCGAGGAGGGAGGCCGGAGAGGAGAGCCUGACCGAGGGGGAGGGGGGGCAACAGGGCCCGAAGACGGGGUGGAAGGAGCGAGGAAGAAAGGAAGGCAGGGCUUCGCGGCGGGGAGCGCGGAGAAGUACACUUUAGAAGUUCACAAGUGGCUGGCUGCACCCCUGCACCCGCACACGCUCUCCCCAGACACGCUCCCCCUGCCCACCUCCGGGAGCUCCGCAGCAUCCAGCCCCCGGCGCUGCCCACCGCCUUCCGCAGAAACAGCCCGGGACCCGGGCGCAGUGGAGCAGGCUGGGGGCCGGCCGGGCGGUGCGCCCGGACAGGACGGGCUCUCUUCCCCCAGAGACUCCGCUCUAGCUGCCACAGCCAGAUGGAAGUAAUCAGAACCCAACAACAACAGAGGAAGAAGGAAGAAAAAAACCUCACCGAAGUUUGGGCCAAAGUGUAUAUGGGGGUGUGUGUGAAAGAACUUGCUUAAGCAAACUGGGUGACUAGCUCUGGGCCCUCGAGCCACACCGCUGCUCAGAACUGAGCUGCCUGGCUAGCAUGCAGAGCAUGGGAGUGGCCGGCUAAAGUGUCCCUCAACUCCUCGGGGGCCACCCCUCUCUCUGUGCUGAGGGUUCUCACCCAAAAAGUGCCUCAUUUGGGGAUUUUUUUUAAUGUUAGGAAAAGUUCUAACACUUGUGAAACACGAUCUGCUGGGUGACAGGUGAUAAUUCCUUUAUAUCUAUCCUACAAAACUCUGAGAUUGGUUCCCCCCUCUCCAUUUUACAGAUGAGAAGACUGAGGUUUACAGAAGUUAAGCAACUUGUCCAAGGUCAGAGCGGUUGUACCAGUACUUCAACUAAAUUGGCCCAGUUGAGAGGAGUGGGAGCAUCUCUCCCUUCAGCCGCCCUUCCUACCCUUGCAUCUUGUCUGGAAUGCAAGAGAAACAAAGGCUCAGAGAGGCAAUUCUACUCUCCUUGUGGGGGCGAGACCUUCAUGAGCCCACUUUUCUGAUACAAUCCCUUUUGGUGGGUAGCUGUCUCCAUAUACCAUUGACCAUUUCCCCAACUCUAUGUUUCACUUUUUAAUCACAGAGGGAAGGAAUAUUAGGGUCCCCGUUCCCUGUCACCCUACCUUUCUUCCUUUCUCCUUACAUUCACUUAUAUGAGAGAAGUAACAAUUUCUUCUUGACCUAGAGGGAAAAAAUAUGCAGAACAAUAUUAGAACAAUUUGAUGCUAAUUUUGUUUUUAACAAAUAGGCUCUCCAGAUGGGGAGAAAAAAACCCACAGGGUUUAAAAAAAAAAAAAAAGGCAAAACUUGCAGAAGCCAAUGCAUUUAUUAAAGGGAAGAAAAGUUUGAAAGGGGCUUUUUCUUUAAAUAUGAUCGGAUUCACCAUUCAUUCCUCCAUGCUAUUUGUUUAAAUUCCUGCUGAGCUUUCAGAACACAGACUCCAAGGAGACAGAAAAAGUAAACUCUCCCUCCCCUCAAUGGCCAUAUUUUAAUGACCCUAUUCAUAUCUGUCCCAUGAAAUGUGGGGAAUCAUUUCAUGUUACUGGAAUAUUAGCUUCAUCGGCUGAUUACUUCAUUAUAAGUUUGUCUCUGUUGGUUUCCUUGUGUUGUUAAGUUUGUGGAGAAGUUUAAACAAAUCAACAUUUUGGGAUAUUUCCUUUUUCUCUGUUUUUCUUCUCAGACCGGCUCAACUCCUGUUGGAAUCCAGGCACUCCCAUAACCUUCUCUGGCUUAUUUUGGCAAGAAGGUGGCUGUUGAGAUGAAGAUGGAAUGUUUUCGGUUUGAGGAGAGGCAGUAGACACCAUGCCUUAAUCGGUGGAUGGUCAGAAGUUUUGGCACUGAAAAAAGCAAUGAGGUUUGGAGUGGAGGCAAGUGGCACAGCAGAGAAAGCCUUCCUGUGAGCAUUGGGAUACCAAGUCUGGUUUCAGAUCUGAUCCUUAAUGAAUGACCUUGGGCAAGUCCCUGUUCACUCGGUUGGCAACAUUCUGCACGCCAGGCGUCGUGCUAAGUGACCUAACAUCACCGUGAGCCAAACUGGUGAGAGUCCCUUCCCCUCUCGAGCUUAAUGUUUCAUUAGUAACCACGAACAAAUAUAUGAUCAGAAACUGGGUGAGGAAAAAAUGCAAAGUGCGCUAAACUGGUGCUUGGUGACCUGAGCUGUCACGGGAGGCGGUGUGGGGCUCAAGGAGGGCAUUCCUGAGGAAAUAGUUUUCACCGAUAUGAAGAAGGAAUGGAGUGCAACAAAAGCAAAAAUAGAGAACAUUACACUGAAAAGCUGCACAGCAAAGGAAAAGACAGAAUAAAAAGGCCUCCUCUGGAGUGAGAGAAAAUAUUUGCAAACUACAAUAUCUGCCGAGGAGCUCAUUUCCAAAAUCUAUAAGGGACUCCUAAAACUCAAGAGCAGAAACAACAUAUAACCCAAGUAAAAUAUGGGCGGAGGGGACACCUGUGUGGCUCAGUGGUUGGGCAUCUGCCUUUGGCUGGGGGCAUGAUCCCAGGGUCCUGGAAUCCAGUCCCAUAUCGGCUCCCCACUCUGCCUGUGUCUCUGCCUCUCUGUGUCUCUCAUGAAUAAAUAAGUAAAAUAUUUUUUUAAGUGGGCAGAGGCCCUCAGUAGACAUUUCUCCAAAGAGGAUGUUCAGAGAUGGCCAACAAGUAUGUGAAAAGGUGUUCAGCAUCACUUGUCAUCAGGGAAAUGAAAGUCAAAAACCACAAGGAGAUGCCACCUCACAUCCCUGAGAAUGGUUAAUGUCAAAAAAAUGAGAGAUAACAAGUAUCAGGGAGGUUGUGGAGAAAUUAGAACCCUUGUGCACUGUUGAUGUAUGUGGGAAUGCACAAUAAUGUGACCAUUAUGGAAAACAGUAUGGAGUGUCCUCAAAAAAACUUAAAAUAGGGGCAGCUGGGUGUCUUAGUGUUUGAGUGUCUGCCUUUGGCUGGGGUCAAGAUCCCAGUGUCCUGGGAUCAAGUUCCACAUUGGACUUCUUGUGAGGAGCCUGCUUCUCCCUCUGCCGAUGUCUCUGCCUCUCUCUCUCCACGUCUCUCAUGAAUAAAUAAAUAGAAUCUUUAAAAAAAAACUUAAAACUGAAUAUGAUCCCCCAAUCCCACUUCUGAGUAUAUAUCCAAAAAUAUUGAAACCAGGGUCUUGAAAAGAUACCUGCACUCUCCGGUUCAUUGCAGCAUUAUUCAUGAUAAUCAAGAUCUGGAAACAACCCAAAUAUAUCUCGUCAGAUAAAGGGAGAAAGAAAAUGUGGCAUAUACAUGCCACGAAAUAUUAGUCAGCCUUAAAAACAAAACAAAACAAACAAAAAAAAAAGGAAAUCCUGCCAUUUGUGAACAACAGAGAUCCACCUGGAGGAAAUUAUGCAAAGUGAAACAAAUCCAGCAGAGAAGGACAGAUACCAGUCAGUUCAUCUAAUAGGAGGCUAAAAUAGUCAAAGGUAGAGAAGUAGACAAUAAAAUGGUACUUACCAGGCGAUGAGGAUGGGGGAUAUGGGGAAUUCAGUGGGUAAAGUUCCAGUUAUAUGAGAGGAACAAAGUUCAGAGAUCUGCUCUACAACAUAGUACCUAUAGUCAACAAUCAGGUGUUGUGUAGUAAAAGAAUUCAAGAGGUUAGUUCCCUUGGAGAGGUCCUCUCCCUCGCCAAAAGAAAAGGGGCACAAGGAAACUUGUAGAAAUGAUGGAUAGGGCAGCGGUUUAGCGCCGCCUGCAGCCCAGGGUAUGAUCCUGGAGUCCCGGGAUCAAGUCCCAAGUCAGGCUCUCUGCAUGGAGCCUGCUUCUCCCUCUGCCUGUGUCUCUGUCUCUCUCUCUCUCUCUCUCUCUGCAUCUCUAUGAAUAAAUAAAUAAAUAAAAUCUAUAAAAAAAAAAAAGAAAUGAUGGAUAUAUUUAUUACCUGGAUUGUGGUGAUAGUAACACAAAUAAAUGCGUAUAUCCAAGCUCAUCAUAUUUAUACAUUAAUUAUGUACUUAUGUAUACCAAUUAUACUUUCAUAAAGCCGGGAAGAAAGUAGAAGGAAUGAGGGAGGGUUAACUAGGAGAGGGAAGAGAACACAGUCAAAGGAGCCUGAGUGACAAGAAAAUCUAGCCCAGGGAUGCCCGGGUGGCUCAGUGUUUGAGUGCCUCCCUUCGGCCCAGGACAUGAUCCUAGGGUCCUGGGAUUGAGUCCCACACUGGGCUCCCUACAUGGAGCCUGCUUCUCCUUCUGCCUUUCUCUGUGUCUCUCAUGAAUAAAUAAAUAAAAUCUUUAAAAAAAGAAAAGAAAAAAAUCUAGCCCAAAAGAGUGCUUGUCCCUCACUGCACAGUGGUCUAGUUACUAGGGU